CCUACGGGUGGCUGCAGUGGGGAAUAUUGGACAAUGGGCGAAAGCCUGAUCCAGCCAUGCCGCGUGUGUGAAGAAGGCCUUCGGGUUGUAAAGCACUUUCAGUGGGGAAGAAAGCCUUGGGGCUAAUACCCUCGAGGAAGGACAUCACCCACAGAAGAAGCACCGGCUAACUACGUGCCAGCAGCCGCGGUAAUACGGAGGGUGCGAGCGUUAAUCGGAAUUACUGGGCGUAAAGCGCGCGUAGGCGGUCUGAUAAGCCGGUUGUGAAAGCCCCGGGCUCAACCUGGGAACGGCAUCCGGAACUGUCAGGCUAGAGUGCAGGAGAGGAAAGUAGAAUUCCCGGUGUAGCGGUGAAAUGCGUAGAGAUCGGGAGGAAUACCAGUGGCGAAGGCGGCCUUCUGGACUGACACUGACGCUGAGGUGCGAAAGCGUGGGUAGCAAACAGGAUUAGAUACCCGAGUAGUC
rnacentral:rRNA from 1 species